AAAUCAGCUAGAGAAGUAAACGGGGCAGCACACUGCCUGAAGGAAAACACCCGGAAACUGCUAAGAGAGUGUUAUCUUCGAAAUCCAUAUCCCAGUCCAGCACAAAAGAGGCAUCUUUCCUACAUGACUGGAUUGCGUCCCACACAAGUUACUAACUGGUAUAAAAACAGAAGACAAAGGGAUAGGGCAGUUAGCUCAAAAAUGAAGUUCCAAUAGAGGCAGUCGGUGAUAACUGAGGAUAUUUCAUGAGGAUCAAAAUGUUCAUCAUAAUGCCAGAUGACCAUUCAAUCAGUAUAUGUGUUGACUGUGUAAUGUACAAAUUGUAAAAUAGAUAUUAACCCUAGUUAUGCUGAAUCUUGAAUACAAUCAUCUGGUAGUAAAUUGUUAUCUUCUUUAGCAGAUAAGCAUGUAUGAUUCAUGUUAAUUAAAUGAAUAAAUAUUCCAUAAUCAUUUGUGCUUCAAUGUUAUGUUGUAUAUAAUAAAGAUGUAAAGUGU